rnacentral:rRNA from 1 species
GACAGAGGGUGGCAAACGUUGUUCGGAAUUACUGGGCGUAAAGCGCGUGUAGGCGGCUCGGCAAGUCGGGUGUGAAAGCCCUGGGCUUAACCUAGGAAGUGCACUCGAAACUGCCAAGCUUGAGUUCUGGAGAGGAAGGCGGAAUUCUCGGUGUAGAGGUGAAAUUCGUAGAUAUCGAGAGGAACACCGGUGGCGAAGGCGGCCUAGCUGGACAGCCAACUGGAGU